UAUACGACUCUUUCUGUUUUACUCUGGUUCUUCAAAAUUGAUAAGUUUAUUGUUCUUCUUUCGUCACCGCAGCAGCACAACAACCAUGGAUUACAAUCACCACUACUUAUUCUUCCUCCGUUCUAUCUCAUGCUGCUUAUUCCACUAGUUCAUCAUUUUGUUCUUUCCAUCACAAAAGAAACCGCCAGAAGGGUACAAGGAUGCUAUUAUUUAAGCGAAACAACGCACGACACAUUUAUGUGGAGCGAGCCACUUGCUGGGACAAUUAGAAGAGGAAGACAACAUUGGAAGAUAAUAUGCUAAAGAAGGAAAUGCUUGCCGAUAAAAGGAAUGUACUGAAUGUAUUAUGCUCGUUGACAAUGGUAAGGUAUCAAAGAAUUGACUGUGAAAGUAGGCAGGCUUAUGAACGUUGAGCGCUACCCCCAUCUCAUUCUUAUCUCUUCUAUGAAAAUGGUGUAGAUUUUACUAGUUACGGAGCAUUUUGGAUCCUAAGAUAUCAAUCACUUGCUGGCCAGUGAGCAGAAAAAAGGGGAAAAAAUUUAAAGAUGGAGAAACAAAGAAGAAGUAUUUUCAUGUCGAAGCAAAGAAGAAGCUUGAAGAGAAUUUUCCCAUAAACAAACUUUGGAGUCGAGCAAAAAAAAAAAUAAAGAAGAAGAAAGUGUGGUAGAUAAAUCCGGGAAGUUACAACAGAAAAUGUACAUGUUUCCUUUGUUAGUUAUUACCUGAUUAAGUUAUCGGCUCGGCUUGGAUAUUAGCCGUAUAAUGUUUUUAAGCAUUAAAAAAAAUGCCACCUCAACAGAGUAUAUGCCCUUAGAUUAAGGGGGAUGGACGGACAACAGCAUGUGUCUAAUCUAUGCGUCAAAACUUAAAGUCCCAUGAUCCGGACUUAAAAAAAAAUUAAAACAAAAGGGAUAGAAAUACAGAUGGGUUGCCUCCCACGAAGCGCCUGGUUUAACGUCGUCAAAUCCCGACGUUGUUGUCAUCGUCCAUACACCAAUAAUCUAAAGAUUUGGUAAUCCUUUU